rnacentral:rRNA from 1 species
UACGUAGGGGGCAAGCGUUGUUCGGAAUUAUUGGGCGUAAAGGGCGCGUAGGCGGUUUGUUAAGUCAGCUGUGAAAGCCCGGGGCUCAACCCCGGAGGGUCAGCUGAUACUGGCAGACUAGAGUACAGAAGAGGUAACUGGAAUUCCUGGUGUAGCGGUGAAAUGCGCAGAUAUCAGGAGGAACACCGGUGGCGAAGGCGGCACUCUGGGCCGGUACUGACGCUGAGGAGCGAAAGCGUGGGGAGCGAACAGG